UUUUGAAAUAACGUCUUUAAAAUGAAAUCCCAAAUUUCCCAUUUUCCCCAAAUCAUAGAGCUUCCAUGCCACUUUCUUAAUCUUGAACCCGAAGCAAAUCCUUCAGCCACGUGAUUGUCACCGCUAGCAAAAUGCCUACCGUGCACCAUCGACCGUAGUGUGAAGACGAAAGCCCACCGAAACCCAACAUCAAAAUUGUAUUUGAAGAGGGAAGUCGAAACCUGGAUGAUGGACAAAGGAAAAUAAAUUAUGGAAGAUGAUAAUCAUGAUUUAUUGGUAGAAUGUGAUAGCGAUGACAUAAUGGCCAAUUUGAACACAUUAGACAACGAAAAAUUAGGAGGAGAUGUUGUGACUAAAUCUGAGGUGGGUAUGAUAAAUAGUGAAAAAAGAAAUGUUGGACUUCUACAAAAAAUAUGCUUACGUCGUUUAAAAAGGGGGACGAUGGAGUUAUGAGAUAUAUGAUGUUCACAUGUAGUCGUAAAGGUCGAAGAAUUUAUGCUACGACAGUUCUUUGAAAUUGCAACCAACAAGACAGACAGAUUGUAAAGCAAGAAUAUAUGAUUCUUUAGAUAGUCUUGGAAUAUGGAGAAUUAACAAAGUAUACUUCGAGUACAAUCGUAAAACAAGUCUUUCUAAGUUUAGGUUGUAUUGAUGCAACCAAAAAUUGACUGCAAGUGUGAAAUGAAAGCUCGAAUUAAAUGAUAUGGCAAGAAUCCCCUUGCACACGAGUUUUAACUCUGCAGUUGUGGCAAUAAGUGGAUAUGAGAAUAUGAUGUUCGUGGAGAAGAAUUGCUGAAUUGUCGGAACUAUAUCAAACAAGUGAAACAUGACUUGAAAAAGGAGAUGCCAUCGCAAUAUAAGCAUCUUUUUCAAAGAUGCAAAGGAUGCAAGCAAGAUGCUCAAGAUUUUACUUUAGUAUGGACAUAGAUAAUGAGUCACGAUUGAAAAAUGUAUUUUAAGCAGAUAAUGGAUAUAGGCAAUCUUACAAGCAGUUUGCUGACAUUGUCACUUUUAAUACUAUGUAUCUCACUAAUAAGUAUAACAUGCCAUUUACCCAUUUUGUUGGCGUAAAUCAUCACAGUCAAGCAACAAUGCUUGGUUGUGGAUUGUUAUCGAACGAGGACACCAGAAGUUUUGUGUGGUUGUUUAGGACAUGACUGAGUGCAUGUAAACUCCUAAUGGCAUAGUUACUUAUUAAAAUAGGACAAUGCAAAAUGCAAUCAAUAUUGUUUCUCCGAAUACGAAGCAUAGAUGGUAUUUGUAGCACAUUUUGAAGAAGUUGCCAGAAAAGUAUUGCUACCAUGUUUAUAAGGGCUCCAUAUUUUUUCCUAUAGACGGUUUAGUAUAUGAUUCACAGUUUGUUGAAGAAUUCGAGCACGGUUGGAAGGUGAUGCUCGACACGUAUGACUUGCAUGAUAAUGAUUGGUUGUCGAUAUUCUACGAUAACAGAGGUCAUUAGGUUCCUUGUUUAUUAAAAAUCACUUUUCUGGGCGGGUAUAUCCAAACACAACGAAGUAAGAGUACGAACGCAUUUUUCGAUGGAUAUGUGCAUUCGAAGAUUUUAAGUCAUUUUCACAAAUGGUACCAUAUGCAACAACUUUUGAAAUGAAAAAGCAAUUUCAAUCGGUCUAGACCAUUUCAAAGUUCAAGGAAGUUCAAAAUGAGUUCACUGGGAAAGUAUAUGUUGACGUUAUAUCUCAGAAAGAUGAAUAUUUUUGGAAUAACUACGAGGUUCAUGAGCAUAUCGUACAACAUGAGCACUAGAAGAAAAAACAUUUUGCUUCUCAUUUUUGGAGGGAUACAUGCAAAUUGACUUGUAGUUGCCACUUGUUCGAGUUUCAGGGAAUCAUUUACAAGCAUGCAAUCAUAGUCUUGAUAUGCAAUGAUGUCAUGUCAAUGUCUGAUAGGUAUAUACUAUGAAGAUGGAGGAGAGAUGUCAAAAGAGCACACACGAGGGUCAAAGUCAAUUAUAACAAGUUAGGAAGUACUUCGGGACAGGUAAGAUACUACGAUAUGUGUCAGGCUUUCGGAGGUGGCAGACCUCACAGCAGAUGACAAGGGUGGUCACGUGCUAUAAUGGAAUGGAUAAAAUUGCAAGUAGAACACAUGCGGGUGCUUCGCACUGUAUUUUCUUCGCAUAUUAUUUGUUUGGCCUCUACUCGUAACGAUUCUCAAAAUACUGGCAGCAUGAGCAUAUUGGACCCUAAAUCGUCGUACAAAAAAAGAGGGCCAAGAAAACUUCGAAAGCAAGGUCCAUUGGAGUCAACUUCAGUGAAGUCCACAUCAGCUUCAAGCACAUGAAAGAGGCCUAUGUCUAGGCCUAGUACUACAGAAAAGGCUACAACUGAUUCCGAGGCAUCUUGACUAUCGCAAUUAUCUAUGCCAUCCCCAUUCUCAUAUUCACAACUCCUAUUGGUAAGUAUAACAUGUUAAUUCAUUUAAUUGGGUUGGAAUGUUAAACAGGGUGUUAUUCAUGUAGAGUGACAAUGCCAAUGAAGCUGUCAAAGAAAACCCAUAUUCAACUUUUAUCCACCCGCGAGCCCACUAAUGGAAUUGUGAACGGUCAAAAGCAAAUACAAAUAUAGUUCUUUGUAAUAAAUGUGUUGUCCUUUAAUUAAAGCAUAUACUAAUUUUCGUCUUGUACUAUAGGUCAUGUCAUGCCAUACUACUAUGAACAUUUUACCGAUCAAGGUGGCAAAAACUUGUGAUUCUAGCUA